CACACAUCUCUCAGUCUCAAUCAAAAGCUAGAAAUGAUUAAGCUUAUUGAGAAAGGCACGCAGAAAGCCAAGACAGGCCGAAAACUAUGCCUCUUACUCAAGUUGUGAAUGCAAAGGCAAAGUUCUUGAAGAAAAGUAAAGAUGCUACUCCAAUGAACACACAAAUAAUAACAAAACAAAGCAGCCCUAUUGCUGACUGGAGAAAGUUUUUGUGGUCUGGCUAGAAGACCAAACCAGCUACAACACGCCUUAGGCCAAAGCCUAAUCCAGAGCAAGGUCCUAACUUCAGUGCUAUGAACUCUGAGAGGUGAGAAAGCUGCUGAAAAGCAGCUGGAAGCUAGCAGAGGCUGGUUCCUGAGAUUUGAGGAAAUAAGCCGUCUCUGUAACAUAAAAGUGCAAGGUGAAGCACAAGUGCUGAUGGAGAAGCUGCAGCAAGUUAUCCAGAAGAGCUGGAAGAGCUAGCUAAGAUAACUGAUGAACAUGGCUACACUAAGCAACAGAUUUUCAAGGUAGAUGAAACAGCCUUCUAUUGGAAGACGCCAUGCAGGACUUUGAUAGCUAGACAGGGGAAGUCAAUGCCUGGUUUCAGAGCUUCAAAGGACAGGAUGACUCCCUUGUUAGCUGGUGAUUUUGAGUUGAAACCAAUGCUCAUUGACCAUUCUGAUAGGGUUAUUAAGAAUUAUGCUAAAUCGACUUUGCCUGUUACUCUAUAAAUUGGACCACAAAGCCCUGAUGAUAGUACAUCUUUUUAUAUCAUGGUUUAUUGACUAUUUUAAGCCCAUCAUUGAAACCUACUGCUCAGGGAAAAAAAAAAAAAAAAAAGAUUCCUUGCACAACAUUACUGCUCAUUGAAAAUGCACGUGGUCACCCAAGAGUUCUGAUAGAGAUGAGCAUCUGAUGGGGAUGUACAAGGAGAUGAAUGUUGUUCUCAUACCUGCUUACACAACAUCCGUUCUAUAGCCCAUGGAUCAAGGAGCAUUUUGAAUCAAGUCUUAUUAAGAAAUACAUUUCAUAAGGCUGUAUGCCAUAGAUAGCAAUUCCAUUGAUGAAUCUAGGCAAAGUAAAUUCAAAAUCUUCUGGAAAGAAUUCACCAUGCUAGGUGCCAUUAAGAACAUUCGUGGGACACUGGAGGAGGUAAAAGUACCAUUAACAGGAAUUUGGAAGAAGUUGAUUCCAAUCUGUAUGGAUGACUUGGAGGAGUUCAAGAUUUCAGUAGAGGAAGUAACUGCUGAUGUGGUGAAAAUAGCAAGAAAACUAGAAGUGGAGCCUGAACAUGUGACUGAAUUGCUGCAAUCUUGUGAUAAAACUUAAACAGUUGAGGAGUUGUUUCUUACAGAUGAGAAAAGAAAGUGGUUUCUUCAGGUGGAAUCUACUCCUAGUGAAGAUGCUGGAAACAUUGUUGAAAUGAUAAAAAAGGAUUUUGAAUAUUACACCAACUGAAUAAAGUAGUAGCAGAGUUUCAGAGGAUGUACUCCAAUUUUGAAAGAUGUUCUGUUGAUAGUAACAUGCUAUCAGACAGCAUCGGAUGGUACAGAGAACUCUCUCAUGAAAGAAAAUUAACUGAUGCGCCUAGGUGGUGGCAUUCCAUGGCCUAUCACCUGGGAGCUUAUCAGAAAAGCAGAAUCUCCGGCCCCACCUGAGACCAGCUGAAUCAGAGUCUGCAUUUUAACCAGAUCCCUAGGUGGUUUGUAUACCCAUGAAAUACUGGGAGUGCUGUUGUACGGGACAUUUCUACUCUGCAAAACUUGGGGAAGCAAUGGGGAAAAAACCCUCCUAUAUGGCUUUUAUUUUCCCACAUAGGACAUUCCCACCACACUUACAGAAGGACUUAGAGGUUUGGAGUUUGCUUGCUUUUAUUAUGAAUAUAAAAUGUACAUACAAUACAAUAUACAUUUACACAUUUACAGUUUGCAUUUUCUUUUUUUUUUUUAGCGUAUUCAAUUCUGCAUGGUCCAUUUGGCCUCUCCUUCCACUGCUUUGCACUUACACUCAUGACAUUCCCUUCACCUGGGUACUCUGUGUACUC